GUUCUCACAGACUGAGGAAACCCCAAUUGUCCUAUUGCCUGGACAAGUGCUGGAACGUGGACUGGUGAUUUCUUUUACCAUCCAUCCCUCUGUCUCCCCCCAACACCCUCCAGCUCUCUCUCUUCUUUCUUUUUCCCACAUAAAGUUGUUAUGUAAUGCAAGGCUUAUUUUGAUUUCUUAUGAAGUCACACACUUUGCUGCACAGCUUAGAUAGAUAUAACUGUAAGAGUGCCAGUCUUCAAAGAUAAUCAUAGUACAGAGAUUCUCAUUAAAAUUGAUGACUGUGUUUGGACCUUGAGUAUCAUUUUACCUUAAUCUAGCCAGAUGGAAUUUAUGAAUCUGGUCACCCUUCCCGCUCUUCGUAGAUGGGAUGUAACAUCUUAAUUUGGCAGAGUUGGCAGGAUCUCCUUGAAAGGUCUGGAGGCCACCUUUCAGCUACACACCAGGAAGGCUAUAAACUAGGAGAGGUGUGAGGGAUACUGAUGUUCCACCUCAUAAGUGCAGGCAGGGAGUGUCAGGAAGCGACCACUCAGCUGUACACCAGGAAGGCUAUACUCUGGAAGAGGUACAAGCAGUGGCAAGACAUAGCUGCCCCAGGAAAAGCCAGUGCUUAACUGCUCUCCUGUUACUGAAAUGUUGGAAAAGUGUAAUGCAUGUCCUUCCUACUGGAAAUGACUUGGAUUCAGAGCAAUUGUCAUGGUCCUAGUGCUGUAGCAGAAAGAAUUGCAACCGUUCCUAAGGAACAGAAAAUGUGGUUGGGAAAAGAAAAAGCCAUGGUGUGUGCUAUCUUAGGAGUGGUUCUGAUGGUACCUCAAAAGGAUAAGUAUUUCAACAGACAAGCAGAAGGGGAAAUAAAUAGGUUCCUAAAGGAUUUGGUGAAAAAGUUGCAGGAUCAAUUAGGCACAGAACAUAAGAGCAGUGAGUGUUUGCACACAGCCUUGUGUGACACACUAGAUCCGGGAAAAAAAUCUGCAGUCUAAAUUAGAAGAAAAGGAACAAGAGAUAGAUCUUAACUUAGUCUCAGGAAGCAAAGCAGGAUUUUUGAAUUUGGUCAAAUGACUGAUAAGCAGCGGCUUGAUUCAGGAACUCUAUACCUAAUUAAGGAGUUAGAAAUGAGUCAGGAGUUAUUUUACCUUGAGAAUGAGGAGGGAAUUAUGAGGUCUUUGGUAAAACAGAGAAGACUGAUAGUGGCCAGUGUGGAUAGGCCCUACACAAAAGUUAUAAAGUGACUACUUGAAUGAAUUUUGAGUGGUACUCUGGGGGUAUCAAGAGUGAAAAAUAAAAGGCUGAGUACCAAACCAUAGUAGUCAUUCUAGUUUAUCUGUGAAGUGUUAAAAUGUUGCCAUAAUAUGAUAUAGAAAAAUCCCCAACCUUCUUGGAUUUGGAGAGGUCCUUUCAUCUUCCACUAUAGCAGUGGCCCAGGGACACUGCUGGUAUACACCUCUGAAAUAAUUACCUUGUUGGUAGAUUAAUAGUUCAAUUUCUUCUAGAGUUUAUAUGCACUCAUAACAAUAGUGCAGAAAAGAAUUGCAUUAUUAUAUACUAGUCACACUUCUUAUAAAAAACAUCAGUACGAUUGUGCAAAGAGCCAUAUGAAGGGAAAACAAAAGAGGUACACUUGGGAGUUGAUUCUCAUCUGGCUGAUGAACAGACACCAUGUAAGAAAGCUAUGUGCCCCUGUGAGAUUACUUUUAGAAAGCAGACAGAAUAAAGCUACAGACUAAAAUCUGAAAGAUUCGCAUUAUACAUGCAACCGCUUUUUCUUGAACAACCUCAUUGCAAUUCUCUUAUCUAUUUUUAUUUAAAACAUGCAAAUGUAGUGUUGGAUUGAUGAUUGCAUUUAAAAGAGAGAAAAUAAUAUCAGACCCUCAAAGAAAAGAGCUGUGGUUUCAGACUCUGAUUAGGUGCUAGAGAAAAUAAAUAUUUUAAUAAUAAUGAUAAUAAUAAUGAACAACUAACCAAUCACUCUCGUAACAUUAUACAUUUACAUGUAGCAGAAUGUAAUCUGAUUUGCAUGACUUCCAUCUGCCAGUGUCCCGAAUGUUCUACAAGGGCUCUCCAAAAGUAAUGCCUCCUAUUUUAUUAUGUUGGUCCAUAACACUAGAGGUGAAAGUUGGUGGUAUGGCAGUAGAGGUUGAACCUGCCUGCCAAUAUGCUUUUACAUUUUGUUGCCAUGUGACAGAGGGCAGCAGAGGGACACUCUGACAUGGAAGUGUGUAUGAAGAAAAGGUGUCACUGAAUUCCUCCAUGUGGAAAAAAUGGCAACAACUGACAUUCAUGGAUGAACAUUUGAAUUAAAGUGAAUCAAAAUUUGAGUUUCAUAUUUUUAAUUAUUUAGCAUUAUUUUUACUAUGUCUUUGCGCUACUUGAUUUCAGACAGCAACAAAGCUGGAGAAGUAUGAAAAUGUCUAUUUUGGCUUUAGUUCAGACAGUUUACCCUUAAAUCUAUAACGAUUCAUAAACCUAUUUGUUUCCAAAUACAUACUUCUGUCCUUUACUGAUGGAAAAAAAAGGCAGGCAUUCAGACCUUCUUUGGGAAAGAAACAGCGCAUUUCAGUAAUAUUACGUAUGCAAAAAUAAAUCGGUGUAGGAAAAUUUCAGUCAAAAUCUUGUGUAACUUUAAACAAAUUCAUUUCAAUAAUCAAAUAAAUUUGCCUUUUUUUUUUUUUUUUAUACUGCAUAUAUAUCACAUGGACAUGUUUUUUUUUUCUUAUUAUCUUAAUUUCUCUAAAUUAAUUCUGUCACCAUUAGGGCUAUUACAUUUUUUUUCAGCAGGUGGAGUGUAGCCUCUUAUAGCCAGCCUAUAUAAUUGUGCUUCUCCAUUAGCAAGGUGCAGAGUUUCUCUGUGCCCUUUUUCUGUAUAUGUUACAGCCACAUAGAGAUGCUCCACUAUCUCAUCAAGUACACUAACCAGUGUGACUUUUGAUGGUUAUGAUAUCAUGUUUUUAUGUAUUUUUGUAAUAUUUGAUGAGAAGUUAUGAACUGUAAGAUAAUAGCUUAUGCAUACUCCAGUUUAUAAUAUCGUUUCCUCCACAAUAAAUCUUUUUAAAGUGGCAUUACAAAAAAAAUAUAAAUGAUAAUCUGUUUAUGAUGAAAAUAUCUGUCUAAUCAUAUACACAUAUCUAUACAUACACUUGACAUGACUUUCAAAUAUGCAUAUGCCAUCAUUUCCCUCUUUUCAGUGGGAUUCUAUCACUUGUUUAUAUUUUGGCACUUGUAGAGGAAUAUCUUUAUUCUAUGAUUUUGCUUUUGCAAUAUUUAAUUUUUCCUUUGCUCCUUGGAUUUGUAGAGAAAAUGAAGAUAGAACAUAAAAAAGAAAACAGAAAAGAAAGAAAAUUAACAUGUGACAAACUGUGUCUUUCCAUUUAGAAAAAUCAGCUUCCAGACAGUGGAAUACAAUGUGAUAACUGUUUAUCAAGUUAAACUGUUUUCUUUUUGUGAAGCGCAAGCCUAAUUACAGAUACCUUCUACAUACGGAUAGCAUUUGCUGAAAUAAUAUUUCUAAUACAUCAAUAUGAUUAAAUAUAAAUAUAAAAUAUGGUUUAAUUUCUAUAUAGUCAUGUAUAUAUAUAUUUUUAAUCCCGCUUUCAGAAAGCAGGCAACGAUUAUGCUGGAAGCUAUCUCCUGGAUGAUCAAAAUGCAGUUCUUACCUACACAAGAAAUAUGCCUCUAGAGUUUUCCAUGAUCUUAGCAAUCCUCAUCAUUAAAUAGCUUGAGGAUUGAUUUUUUUGUUGUUGGUUUUUUUCCUCCCCACAACAUCUAUUAGAAAGCUACUCUAGAAUCUCACCACUCUUAUAGUCAGAAACCUUCCAGUUUCCAGCCUACAUUUAUUUGUGUCCAAAUUACACCUACUUGUUCCUGUGCCAACAUUGUCCAGUAGAGUAAAUAGUUCUUUUCUCUGCCUACUGUUUACCAGCCUAUUGUGUUUUUAGAGGAUAAUUAUUUCCUGUAUCAGCUUUUGUUUCUGCUAUACUAAACAAGUAGAAAUUGUGCAGCUAUUCUCUCAAAAAGACUUCUCCCUAGUAAUUACUGCAGCUCUUUACCUAUUUAAUCUUUCAUGAUCAUGAUGAGAAAAAUCUGUUUGAGAUCCUUCAGGUGCCUUUAACUAAAGUACAGCUGUUUCACCUUUCUCUACAAGAAAUAUUGUAAGUGGCCCGUCCUUGCAUGACAUUUAUUUUCUCAUUGUUGUAUCCCACUGACAACUUAAUAACUACACAGUCACCUAAUACGCAUACCCAAACCUAUCUUCUAUGUUGCUAGCAACUGAUAUGCUUCUAGUUUAUAGUUGUCCUUUUAUUAAUCUUUCUCUUGCCAACAUUACAUGUUUCAAAGAUAGUUUAACUGUGUGUAUUCUCAGUGUACUUCUUCCAAAGGUAUUACAUGUUUUGGAUAAGUUGAUGCCAAACAUAAUAGAAAAAUAUAAAGAAAUAGCAUUGUGAGACAAAGGGAAAUAUCACACUGAAAGCACUGGGAAUGAUCAAGGAAUAAGAAAUUUUUGGAAGUAUGGUGUGAGAGAACAUAGUGGUAUAAAUGCAGAAACUCCCUUAGGAAUGUGGUGGUUUUGUUGCUGCUGUUUGUUUGUUUAUCUUAUGUACACAGAGAUGUUUGAAUAUUGUAUUUUAUUUAGCUUGGAGAAAAAAUUCUCAGAUGUACUAGAGCAGGAGAACCCAAUCUCACUUACAGAAUCCCUCAAUGUGGCAUGCAAGGAUUAUGGGGUUUUGCAGCCCAACACCUCCUCAGAGAAGCUGGGGAAAAGCCUUGGGUUUACAUUCACUGCCAAAACAGCUGAACGUCUUUUCUGGUGUGGAACUAAAGCUUAACGCACAGCUUCUGGCUACUGCUUCUACCAUGAUAGUGGUAGACAACUAAAAGAAAACAGUAGUGGUAUCUACAGCAAAGUACUUCUGGUAGUCUCUGUGGUAGACAGGUCUGUAGAGGCAGUAUUAUUCACAAGUCACUUCCUGGAAGUGGUUUGAUGUACCACUGAAAUAUGCUCCUUACAUGACUGUUUCAAAUAAAUUAAUAUUUACUUAUUUGCCUCAAUACUUUUAGAGUUGUUCACAGUAAAAAGCCUUUUGAUGCUAUCUGGUUGUAAAGGCUCCAUCUUAAGGGUCACGCAUUUGAAACAGUAUUUAUACCUAUUAGCUUUUAAAAACCACUGAGAUUUUCAGAAACAUCUUAAUGAUUUUGGAGUAUUAGUUCAAGUAUCUCGGAAUUUGGAAACUUCAAAUCCCUAAGAAAAGGAUUUAAAUUUCCUUAUUUUGUCAUGGAAGCCAGGAAUUUUAAACAGCUAUGGUUGUAAAAUUACAGACAGUAGAAGAGUUGUGCAUUGUCACACUUUCUAGGAAGAGCUUCUCUAUUUAUUAGAAAGAUGAAGUAGGCUUUUAAGGGAUUUUUUGGAAGGAAAAAGAUAAAUCUUUUAAAAAUGCGUUAUAAUUUGUUUUUUUUUUUUUCUUUUUCUUUCCUAAGAGUACUAGGACAAGAAAAUUUAUUCAGAAAGGAAUUAAUUGCUGGCAAGCACAGCUUAAUAGAAUUCUUGCAAAAUCUUUUUGUCAGUUUUAACGUUGAUGAGAAUCUGCCUAUUGAAAUGGGAAUUUGUAUUUAUGCAGGAUUAUUUUAUUAAGUUACUAAAAGGCAGUUCUACUUAAUGUUUCCUCCUUGGCUGUUGCUGCGUAAUACCUUCUUUGAUGUUGAAGUGGUUAAGUGAACAUGUUACAUUUUUGAUGUGUUUCUAGUCAUGUUUUAAUGUGUUGUAUUCUGUUUAGACAAUCCCUGUGGAGCUGAUAGCUGUGGACUAAUGACUGGUAUACCAAGCAGAUAAGCUGUGGACAUUUUUCAGUGUUAACAUAAUGACUUUCAUCAAAGGAGGAAGAAGUCUACUUAUUUUUCAUUUUGUUAAGGUUUGUUGAGUCUUUGAAGGCUUUAUGUCACUUCCAGAGUCCUGAGAAGUUGUUUACUAUAAGUAAGAACAUACUGAGUGCCUUUUGGUGAAAGCAAGUUUACUCAUUCUGAAUCAUGCCAAACCGCAUAAUCUGGAAAGGAAUAUUGUGGCUCUACUUGGAAAGUACUAAUUGGGUUUCAGCCAUCACUGGGAAAGUUGUAUAGCCUUUUAUUAUUUUAACUGGCCAAAUGCCCCUUGUUCCCACAUUAACAGCCUCCCUAUGACGCCUGUAACUUUGAUAUUAUUUUCACUUUUACGCUAAAUUUCACCAGAUGAAAGGCACAAACGCUCCAAUUUCAAAAUAAAAUAAAAUAAAAAAAUAGCAUGUUUUGUUAAUCCUGUAUUUCAGAGGGAAAGUCUGUGGAAAUGAUAACCUACGUCUACUGGCCAAAGUUUUGUUCAGUGAACCCAUCCUGCCAGCUGUUCUCAUUGGCAAGAGGAAAGAUAAUAUUUUGAUAUUUUUAAUUUCCUCAUUUUAGAGCAGAACUUUUGCUUGUGUCAUCAUUUAAAUCAUGUGUGUUAACAUCAGUCUGGCAGACAAUGCAGCCUUUAUAAAGAGCUGGGUUUGGAAGAUAUCACUGUGAUGUUGCAAUAAGGUUGUUCUAGAGCAUUAAACACAACUUAAGUCACUUACAGACAAGGAAUUGUUGCGGGCUCUCUGGUUUGUACUACUGAAGUACUGCUUUGAAUGUUCUGAGGAGGACACCAAAGCAGAUAUGUAGGAGCAUUUUAGUCAGAUAUAACUGGCCACUGAAGACACAAAAUAUCUCAAAACACUGGUCUCUCACUUGUGUUCAUGUUGUCCUCAUCUCACAAGGCAAAUUGAGAAAGGAUCACCAAAGAGCACCUAAGGUCCACUCCUUGGUGAGUGACAAGGGAUGGCCUCAGGUAGGCAAAAGGAACACUGAUAUUUCUGAGACAAAAAACAGUCACCUAAAGCUUGAAGCUUAACCAACAUACUUCCUAUCCAAAAUGCCCUAUCAUAUCCAAAAUGCAGACAGAACAUGUUCUCCCUUCAUCUUGGGUUCUGGCUGCAAGCUCUAAUUUCUACUAAAUAUUGAAGCCCACACCUUAGCAAAGGCUUAUUUCAGCAUAUCAUAGAAUCAAUUGUUUUGAGUUGGAAAGGAUCUUUAAAUGCCACCUGGUCCAAUUCCCCUACAAUGAACAGGGACAUCUAUGGCUAGAUCAGGUUGCUCAGAGCCCCAUCCAGCCUGAUCUUGAAUGUCUUCAAGGAUGAGGCUUCCACCACAUCUCUAGGCAACCUGGCAAUCUGUUCCAGUGUUCCAGUACCCUUCCCAUAAAAAACUUUUUCCUCAUAUCCAGUCUAAAUCUCCCCUUUUUCAGUUUGAAACCGUUCCCCUUGUCCUGUCACAGCAGACCCUGUUAAGAGUCUGUCCCCUUCUUUAUUAUAGUCCCUCAUGAGAAACUAAAAGGAUGUUAAAAGAAGAUUUCAUUCAUUUGUGCCUUACAGUAAUUGUAUAAUUACUGUCUUAAAUGCUCUGAGGUGGAUGGUGUUUAUGACCAUUCCAGUGUGUUUCAUAGGGGAACAGCAUAACCUUCCACUGUCCUGAAAUAGAACUGGGCCCUUCCAUUUAUUAAAGUUGUCUUGGGCAAGCCAGCAAAGUCUGUAAUGGCUCUCUUAUAUCACCCUGUGUGCACUUUGUAAUGCGGGGCACAUUUCAAGGAAAAUGGAGAUAGUUCCUACAGUUUGCCUACUUAUUGCUGUUGAAAUAUAUUAUUGCAAAAACUGAAAAUAAAAAGAUUUUGCAUUUUGUUAGCAAAGCUCAGCCCUGCAACCAUACUAAUAAUACCACAGUUAUACCACAGUUACAACAAGGAUGCAAGUUUGCAUUUAAAUAUAUUUCUCCAGCUUUUGCAGUGUGUGAAUUCAGGAAAAAAAAAAAAAAAUCAAGUUUUAAUUUCCUCUAGGAACGUAUAAUAAUUUACUGCCUUUUUCUGGCUGUGCUGCCAUUCAGCAAGAUCUAGAUAUGUUGGAGAGUUGAAUGGAGAGGUACCUUUAUGAGCUUCACAAGUCCAGCAGAGGGCCACAAAGAUAGCAUCUCCCUUACAAGAAAAGGCUGAGAGACCUUGGGCUGUUCAGCCUGGAAAAGAGACUGAGAGGGUAUCUUAUCAAUGCUUAUAAAGUGCCGGAAGCAAGUGGAAGCCCAGAGACAACAGGUACAAACUGAAACCCAGGAAGUACCUUAUGAACAUGAGAAAAGACUUCUUUACUUUGAGGGUUACAGAGCACUGGAACAGAAUGCCCAGACAGGUUGUGACUUCUCCUCUGGAGAUAUGCAAAACUCACCUUGAUGCUUUCCUGUGCAAUCUACUGUAGGGAAACUGCCUUAAUAGGGGGUUGGACUAGAUGAUCUUCAGAGGUCCUUUCCAACCCCUACAAUUUUAUGGUUCUGUGAUUCUGUGAUUUUCUCCUUCUGGUUAGCACUCAUUGCUGCAAAUGCAGUUACAAGUCUGUAUCUUAAGUUUUUCUUGCCUACUGAACUGACAGAGCCUUUCAGAGUACUCUCAGACAAGGUCAGUCCAUUAAUCAAGAAUGAAAGUACAAGGGAAAAAUGGCAAAUUCAUUUGGUAGCACUCUUAACAAGUUAUUUUCCCGAAUUUGGAGUUUGUGUGCCCCAUGCAACGGCUUUCUCAGUUAUUCUACAUGUACUGCAGUUUCACAAAGCUGCUGCAGAUGGACCUUGUCCAGAAGCUUGUUUAGAGUGAAACUGUAAAUUCCAGCCUCCUUGGAAAGCUAGCACUGUUGCAUUAGUGCUCCAAAAUACUGCAGGAGGUGGCUGAGAGCCUUGCACACUGUGAUCCCAUGCAGCAGGGCAGCUGGGAGGGUACUGUCAGGUACUGAUUGCACUCUGUGGGAUAAGCCAUGGAUGCCCACCAGCUGCUAGCAGCAAGGAAGCACUUGAACAUUGACCUCUUAUCUUAGAAAAGGCAAAUAUUAAUUGCAACAACUGAACAAAUAACAAAGGUAAGGUGUUAAAAAAAAUAGUAAUAUCUUCCAUCUUUUAACUUUGUUCAGGUAACUUGGAAAUUGUAGAGGCAAGUAUAUCAUUUUAGAUGAAAGGAAGAAAAUUUAGGAAACAAAACAUCCACAGCCAUAUUUCUUGAAAACAAUCAGAAAAGACAUCUGGCAUUAUUUAAGUCUUUCUAUAUUAACAGCUAAAUUUACAGUAAAUUGCAUACGUGAGCAAAACAAAAAAGAAAUCCACUAUGGUAGUGGAAGGAAAGAUAAAAGCUUUCUAAAAUCAGGAGUAGUAAAGACAGGUCACAGAGGGAACGGAAGUUUUUGUAUCACAAUAGACAGUAAACAAGGAGGCAUAAAAUAAUUGGUUAAUUCAAAACAAAUAAAACCAGAAGCGUUGCCUCAUGCAGCAGUUAGGCAACUUUGAAUUUGCUUGUCACAAGAUGUUGAGGUUUACAGAAGCUGACAUGAAUUAAAAAUCUCUUGGACGAACUCAUCCACCAGGACCUAUUAAAUGCAAAGAGGCAGCCUCAGACUUAGGAUAUUGUAUCACUGGAAGCUGGGAAGAUAAUGUGGGUAGCUAUCACUGCAAGCUUAUCAUUUUAUUAUAAUCUUCAGUAAUCGUCCACUUUUCACUAUUUGUCCUCAUUUUUGGAGCCAAGAUACUGGGUUAGAUAGGUCUUUUUCAGUCUGAGCUGGGAUGGCCCUUCUUGCAGCCUGAUUUUAAAUAAUUCCUGCAGUUUGUAGAGAAUCUUCUAAGGAUCAAUCUGAACAAUAUGAGUCAGAUAAAGGACACCGAACAGAACUAAGACUAAAAAUGUCAGGAGCAGAUAACUAAGAGAGAAGACUCUGCAAGUAAUAUAAAGAGAAGAUAAAGUAGGAUGAAAUUUUCAUCUAGCCUUUAACUCUUCAAGAAAAAAAGUGCCACCACACAUGAUAUGAUGGAAAAUUACUCAUCUCUGUAAAAGAAAAAGAAUACUUCUAUCCUUCCAGUGGGUGAAAUUACAAGAAAAUUGAAAUUUGUCCUUAAACAGAAAGAAUUGUAAUUGUCAAAUCACAUAUAUAUCAAGCUCUGCAAGUGGAUGAAUUCAUAGUAAAUGAUGAGUUAAUGAGCAUAUGAAAGUGUAAAAAUCAUAGAACUUCCAGCUUAUUAAAAAAAGAAAAAAACAACCUACUUGAAUUAAUUCUGUAGUUACAUAUGCCCUAUAAAAAGAUAUUGAUCAAGUCAGUCCUCUGUCAUGAAAAAUGACUGAAUGUAAAAUAUUCUUUGAUUCUUCUUAUAUAG
ensembl:lncRNA